rnacentral:rRNA from 1 species
UAUUGGACAAUGGGGGCAACCCUGAUCCAGCCAUGCCGCGUGAGUGAUGAAGGCCCUCGGGUUGUAAAGCUCUUUUGGCGGGGACGAUGAUGACGGUACCCGCAGAAUAAGCCCCGGCUAACUUCGUGCCAGCAGCCGCGGUAAGACGAAGGGGGCUAGCGUUGUUCGGAAUUACUGGGCGUAAAGCGCGUGUAGGCGGUUUUCCAAGUUGGGUGUGAAAGCCUUGGGCUUAACCCAAGAAAUGCACUCAGUACUGGAAGACUAGAGGACCGGAGAGGAUAGUGGAAUUCCCAGUGUAGUGGUGAAAUACGUAGAGAUUGGGAAGAACACCAGUGGCGAAGGCGGCUAUCUGGACGGUUCUGACGCUAAGACGCGAAA